rnacentral:rRNA from 1 species
GACGAACGCUGGCGGCGUGCUUAACACAUGCAAGUCGAGCGGUAAGGCCCUUUCGGGGGUACACGAGCGGCGAACGGGUGAGUAACACGUGGGUGACCUGCCCUCAGCUCUGGGAUAAGCCCGGGAAACUGGGUCUAAUACCGGAUAUGACUCCAUGACGCAUGUUGUGGGGUGGAAAGCCUUGUGCGGCUGAGGAUGGGCCCGCGGCCUAUCAGCUUGUUGGUGGGGUGAUGGCCUACCAAGGCGACGACGGGUAGCCGGCCUGAGAGGGCGACCGGCCACACUGGGACUGAGACACGGCCCAGACUCCUACGGGAGGCAGCAGUGGGGAAUAUUGGACAAUGGGCGCAAGCCUGAUCCAGCAAUGCCGCGUGAGUGAAGAAGGCCUUAGGGUUGUAAAGCUCUUUCGGCGGGGACGAUGAUGACGGUACCCGCAGAAGAAGCCCCGGCUAACUCCGUGCCAGCCGCCGCAGU